GUAUUGUAUUGCGUUAAACGCGGCAUACAUUCCAUAAGACUUUAUUGUGGUGUGUGUGUGUAAAGACGUAGGACCACAGCAAGGGGACAGUGUCCCCCAGGCCAUAGAACUACAGAGGGUGCACAGGUGUGAGUGGAUGUGUAAACAGAGCGUGCACGUGCCCCCCUUCGAGGGCCAGCAACAACUCGUGUCGACAAUUCGGUAAUGAUCCUUCCGCAGGUUCACCUACGGAAA
rnacentral:misc_RNA from 1 species